AUUGAACGCUGGCGGCAUGCUUUACACAUGCAAGUCGAACGGUAACAGGCCUUCGGGUGCUGACGAGUAGCGAACGGGUGAGUAAUGCAUCGGAACGUACCCAGAGGUGGGGGAUAACGCAGCGAAAGCUGUGCUAAUACCGCAUGUGAUCUGAGGAUGAAAGCGGGGGACCGAGCAGCAAUGUUUGGCCUCGCGCCUUUGGAGCGGCCGAUGUCGGAUUAGCUAGUUGGUGGGGUAAAGGCCUACCAAGGCGACGAUCCGUAGCUGGUCUGAGAGGACGACCAGCCACACUGGGACUGAGACACGGCCCAGACUCCUACGGGAGGCAGCAGUGGGGAAUUUUGGACAAUGGGCGCAAGCCUGAUCCAGCAAUGCCGCGUGCGGGAAGAAGGCUUUCGGGUUGUAAACCGCUUUUGGCAGGAACGAAACGGUGUCCGCUAAUACCGGGCGCUAAUGACGGUACCUGCAGAAUAAGCACCGGCUAACUACGUG
rnacentral:rRNA from 1 species